rnacentral:tRNA from 1 species
GCCUUCGUAGUGUAGUGGUCGGCACACCCCACUCGAACUCGAGAGGUCCGUGGUUCGAUUCCUGGCAAGGGCA